rnacentral:lncRNA from 1 species
UCUUGCUCUCCAUCAAAAUCUCAAGCCCUAAUUUUCAAAAUCCAUAACAAUCAACCCUAAACCCUCUUCUCCUCAUUUCCAUCCAUCCUUCAUCCUUCUCUAUUCUCUUGACCAAUUCUCCUACUCUCUUUGGAACAAUGGGCCCCAAGAUGCGGUUGCCACAAGGAAGAAAGUCAGUGAGGUCCUUAGAGGCUGGAGAACGAAG